UGGUAUAGUCAUUAGAUUUAUCAAUUGCUUGAAUGAUGCUUACCGUUUUGCUUUCUUGCACCGUACUGAAUAUUGUGGCUAUAGUAUAUCAUUGUAUUGUACUGGCACGCGGGAAGGAGAAGGCGAAGGCGCGGCAAAAAAAUCGGCUUUUCUAUCGUGGCUUCACUGCACGAUUAGCAAUUGGGUUUCAUGAUAUUUGUUGGAGUAGAGGAGUGAGAUGAGCAACAACAUUCUGUUAGAUUUCGGCCCUCACUUAGUGUAUGGCAUGAAGGAAAAUAAGUUACGCGAAACACUUGGAUACUUUGUUUAUGACCACAUAUUACCGGUAGAGAACAAGAGAUGGCGGCUCUGAAAAAUUUGAGCAAGAUAGAAGGUGGAAGCAGUUGAAUGAUGCAAAUAGCUAACCUUUGCUCUCUUUGGGUGGAUUUCGUCGGCUUUUGAAAGUGGAAUAUGCUCUAGAUUAAGGGACAAUAUUGAGGCGUAAGAUACAGAAGAUAUGAAAGCUCCAAGCACAUAAAACAAGGCCUUUGCGGUGUACUUUCGGUGAGUUAAUUAAGUAGAUUUCUUGAAUGAUAAAAUGUCCCAGUAUUGCUAGAAAGGGUGUGAUUCCUAUAUACUACUCUCUGCUAUGUGUCACUAAAUUCAUAAUUUUCCUUAAGAUCUACAAGUGAUAUAUGUUUCUUGUCAAAGUAAAUUAUUCAGUAUUACAAAUUUGAGCAGUCUUUCUUUGCUGCUUUAAUUUUUUGAGUGUUGAUUUGUUCAUGGGUGUCUGCAUGCGAAUUCUACUUCUCCUUUUUCCUCU